rnacentral:tRNA from 1 species
GCCUGGCUAGCUCAAUCGGUAGAGCGUGAGACUCUUAUUUUAUCUCAAGGCUGUGGGUUCAAGCCCCACGUCGGGCU